rnacentral:misc_RNA from 1 species
AAAAAAAAAAAAAGUACUUGGGUGUUGUUAGUUUUGAUGUGAGGUAAGCACUUACUAAACAGCAUUUCCAUUGCAUAAAAGUGCAAAAUGCAAAGAAAGCAGCAGCUCAAUUUUUUAAACGCAAGAAGAUAACAACAGGCAUUCAACAGUAAAUAAUUUAUGUCCUUAAGCUAGAUCAAAGAAAGCAGAAGAUAGUAUAAAAUAGAAAAUGCUCUUGCUUCUCAGCCGCUAACAUGUUGCAAUAUAAAAUGAACUGAAGAACCAACAUUGCCGAAACUGAGUAAAGCCCACAUGAGCCGAAGAACUCAC